UACGUAGGGGGCAAGCGUUGUCCGGAUUUACUGGGCGUAAAGCGCGCGUAGGCGGAACGUUAAGUCCGGUCUGAAAGCCCCCGGCUCAACCGGGGAGGGUGGCUGGAAACUGGCGUUCUUGAGGGCGAGAGAGGAGGGUGGAAUUCCUGGUGUAGCGGUGAAAUGCGUAGAUAUCUGGAGGAACACCGGUGGCGAAGGCGGCAUCCUGGACCAACACUGACACUGAGGAGCGAAAGCCAGGGGAGCAAACGGG
rnacentral:rRNA from 1 species